CGAAGCCAUCGUGGAUACGAUGGGUUACAUCGUGGCCACGAUGAGAAGGAAACUUGGCGCCCAAGAAAAGAACAAAAUCUGCAAUUUAUUUGGAUUAAAUCUUUUUCAUCGUGUCACGAUGGCCACAGGGUGCAUCCAUCGUACCACGAUAUGCCUUGAAGCCCAAGUCCAAAAAAAACUAUAAAUAGAGCUCUCCUUCUUCACAAUUAUUGAUUCAAAAGUUGAGAGAACUACAAGUCUCUAAGGAGCAAAGGAGGAGAAGGAAAGAGAGUUAAAAGCUCUCUAGGAAGGCACUCUCCCAUCAUCGGGAGU
rnacentral:lncRNA from 1 species